UCUCAAAAUUAAGGCAUUUCUUUGUCACAUCGGUGAGCGAGUGUUCUAUUUCGUCCGGAAUUAUCAAUGUCAAGCAAAUGCUAUCUUAUUUAUAAUAUAAAAUAAGGAUAAAUAUAUGUAAAUAGAUCGGAAGAAAAUGGUAGGAUUUGAAAGGAAAGAAAGGACAUUCUAUAAGAGCUUGUGUUGUUCUCAAAAGAAUAUAAUACAUAAAAUUCUACGAGUCGACGAAGUUGAAAAUACAAAGCACAGUGAAAGUCAUGUGUUAUAUUUUGCUGUUUUUCUUAUGUAGUCGAGAUUAUGAUUGCAGUUGUUCGUGCAGCCAUAGAUGAAUCAAUCUUUGUUUCGAUAAAAUAAAGAAGGAAUUGUGAAGUAGAUUUGUUGUUAAUGUUUUUCGGUUAAUUUAAAUUUGUUUGUGUUUUAUGAUGUUAAAAAACUUUUAGGAAUAUGUCUCUAUGAAUAAUUUGGGUGCAAAGCAGUUAUAGAGUCAAUAUUUGUUCGCAUAGAAUUUUAUUUUUCUUUUUUUCUACAAUCAGAUAUACUGUAUAUAUGAAACAAGCAAUAGAUAUUCGCGAAUUAUAUUCAUUAUUUGCCUCUUACUUAUUAAAUAAUUAUUGCGUAUUUGAGUCAGUGCAUCAUGGAAGAUGAUCAAGGAUCUAGUACACUUCCAUAGAAGAAUAUUGAUUUACAUUGUCAUUAAGUCAAUGUAUUACAAAUUCAAUCUAAUUAAUUUUCCAUCUACGUUGAUUUAUUUAAUUAUGGACCUAUUGCGGACCAGCUUACAUAAAUUUCGAGCUACAACUGGGCGAAUGUUUUGGAGCUAUUGUAGAUUUUCUUAAGCACGAGCAUAGUCUUGAUGAGGUCCGUAUCCGUCGUUGCUGGGCAGCCGCUGCGAUCUUCAUCUUUCAAAUCAAAAUUGCCAGCUCUAAAUUUCUUAAACCAAUUGCGGAAGGUUCUAAUAGUCAUAGUACCACUCCCA